UCCGCAACGGGAGAGGUCACAACAGUGAGAGGCCCGCGUACCGCAAAAAAAAAAAAAAGAUCACUGAAUUGUGUGCCUUAGCAGGGCGAGUUUUACGGUAUGUGAAUUAUAUCUUAAUAGAAAUGUAAAUAUAAACGUGAUCAACGAACAGAAUGACAUGAAGGAGGGCAUCUUGCGGGGGGUGGCUGGUGGCGCUGGGCAGGGGGACGGACCUUUAGAUUUGGUUCCUGGGAAGGUUGUUCCAAGGAGGAGGUGCUGUUUAGCUGGGACCUGAAGGAUGAGUCCCAAGGUGAUGAAGGUGCCAUAGGCUGAGAUGGGGAAGCUUGGAGGAGAAUCAGAUUUCGGGGAGGAAAUCAAGAGACCUCGCUGGGAUAUAUUAAAGAUAGAACCUAUACAAACGCAGAAGAACAACAAGGCUGAGCAAGACUCCACGGGGCUCAUGGAGAGGCUGAGCAGGAGAGGUGAUGGCUGCGGGCUGACACCCAGUGCCUGCCUCUCAGAAGCCAGGACGUGUGUGGACUGCACCCUCCCUGGAGGUUACACCAAGUGCUGGCACAGCACUCUGGCUCCCGGCCCGCCCGCCUGCUUGUGGGGCUCCUUCCAGCGUUUUUUGGGCCUUCUGCCACGUCCCAGGUCCUCCCCUUACAAAGGCAAGAAGGGCAGGGGAAGGGAGUGUCCCUUCUGAACACCAGAUGUGACACAUAGCCUUAAAUAGGCAGGAGCUCCAGUCUGAUAGCUGGGGUGGCCAUAGGGAGAAAAGUGGGCUUGCCACCCCUAAAGGGUCCAAAAUCUUAGAAAGGCACUGAGGCCCGUGAUGAAUACUGUGGUGCCCAGGGCACCCAGAGGAAAAAGCAGGCCCAACAUCGUGGCUGGAGCCAAGUCAAAGGGUCAGGAGAGAACUUAAUCUCAACUAGCACAUUCUUUCUCACCUAGUGGGUCCUGCGGUAGCAGUCAUCACUUUCAGUCAGCACCUUCGGGUGCUUCUAGCCCACACAACAUGGCACGCUUCUGUAUUUUCUUCCAUAAAGGUCUCUCCCCUCUGGCUCUCUGCCCAGCCAGUUGCCCACAGACUGGAAAACAAAGGCUCGAAGCCUUCCCCGGAGACCUGGGCUUAGGGAUGGGCCUUGGGCAGGCUGGGCGGAUGUUCUGUUGAUUUUUUUUCCAAGUGCAGAGAAUGUGACAGCCAAUUCCUGUUGGAAAUAGCUUUUGUUUUCUUUGGAGCACAAAGCACUUUUCCUUUCUCGUGAUUGUCUCAGCUCAGGUCAUGUUUAGGAUGAUGAUUCGCUAACCUAAUUGCAUGCCUUCCAGAUCCAUGGUUCUUAACCUUUCAGGGCAUAGACCCUAUUGCAACUCUGGUAAGAACUAUGGACCCUCCUCCCAAAAUGUACAUACAUACACAUGCACAUAAAUACCCCGAAUUUAAUAUUUAAUAUCAGUCCUAGCAGGUUCAGAACCCCUGGGUUGCGGGGGGGUGGGUCCUCCCUACCCCACCACCCCUCACCCCCUGCCCCAGCUUUCUUUUCCAUCUGGAUCUUAAAAUUCCCUCUCAGCCGUCCUCAGGGGCCAGCAUUUCUUGCCUGGCUCCUGCCUGAAUUAAUCUCAUGUAUACAGCCCACCGAGGAGCAGGGACUCUGGCUGGAUUUGGGCUGUCUCCAGUUUCAAGUCUCCAGUCCACUGGUGCUUCAAUUUUUCAGGCAGCAGAGUAUUCCAGUGGGAUUUGUAAAAUCUCUGUCUCAUCUGUGCCUGGUUAUUAUGGAGGAGCCGGGCAGCCAGAGUCUCGGCAGAUUCUAGAAGAGGUGGCACAGCUUUGGAUGAGACUAGGGAGACAGGCGUUGUCUGGUUUUGUUAAAUUCCAGAAGCAAGUCACUUUGCCAAAAAUGCCAAAAAUAAAAGACUGUCUAGACACUUACACACUAGAAGCUCUAAUAUGAGGAGAGACCAUCCCAAAGAUCAUUGAUUUAUACUGUAAAUGGCAAGACAAUUUUUUUUUUUUUUUUUGGCCUCACUGCGUGGCUUGUGAGAUUUUAGUUCCCUGACCAGGGAUUGAACCCCGGCCCUCAGCAGUGAGAGUUUGGAGUCGUAACCACUGGACCGCCAGGGAAUUCCCUGGGUUAACUUAUUUAACAGGCACGAAUUACAUCCCUGUCCUGUGCCCGGCACUGUUCUAGGCACCGGGGUGCACGGUGAGUCAGACAGACAAGGUACCAGAGAAUUUUAGUUAGCGGCAAGUGCAAGGAUGAAAAUAAAAUAGGGUGAAGUGAUGGAUGUGAUGGCGGUGGGGACAUGAUCAGAGAAGAUAUCUCUGAGAAGGUGCCUUGGAGCUGAAACCUGCGUAUUGAAAACGAAGCAUCCAUUGGGAGGAGUAGGAGAGCUCCAGGUGGAGGGAGCAGCUGCAAAGGCCCAGAGGCUGGAACCAGUUGGGCUGCUUGAGGACAAGGAAAACAUGUGUGGCUGGUGCAGCUUCCGGGAGAGGGGAGGUCGGGGCUGGGACGGAAGAGGUAGGCAGCGGAUGGACAGCUUCGGGCUUUGCGGAAAAGACAACGGAGAGUGUGGAGCAGGCGUCUGAUGUGAUUGGAUUUGCAUUUUGAGAACCCGCCUCCGUGGAAAGAAGUGUCUUCUGGGAGAGCAAGAGCGGAAGUACGAGGCUGACGAAUGAUCCAGGUGAUACAUUCACAUGGAAAAUCUCCUUCCCAUUCUUGUCCUCAUCUGCAAAGACACCCACUCCGCAUGUCUUAGGCCAUUACAGAGUAUUGAGUACAGUUCCCUGUGUUAUACAGAAUAACAUCAGGCCAAUUCCAAUAGAGGGGUAACAUACAAUAUACCUGUCCAGCAUUCCUCAAACCUGUCAAGGUCAUCAAAAACAAGGAAAGUCAGAAAAUGUCAAGCCAAGAGAAACUAAGGAGACAUAAGGACCACAUGUAAAGUAGUAUCCUGGUUGGGAGAUCCUGGAACACAUAAAGGACAUUAGGUAAACUAAGGAAAUCUGGAUAAACUGUGGACUUCAGUGAAUAAUGAUGUGUCAAUAUUGGUGCAUUAAUUGUAACAAUGUACCACACUUAUAAGAUGUUAACAUACAGGGAACCUGGGCUUGAGGUAAAUGGAAACUCUACUAUUUUCUCAGAUUUUCUGUAAAUCUAGAACUAUUUCAAAAUAUAAGUUCUAUUAAUUUUUUUCUACUCCUGAAGUUAUUUGAUUGUUAUUGUAAUUUUCAUUCCUCUAGUUACUGGUGAGGUUGAGCAUCUUCUCAUAUAUUUAUUGACUAUCCAGGAUUCUCUUUGAUGAAUUUCUUGUUCACAACCUUUGCCUUUUUUAAAAAAUGUGUUAUUUUUUUAAAAAUGUUUGUUGGAAUUUAUAUAUAUUCAGUGUAUUAAUCUUUUGUUGGGUCAUCUAUUAAUUUUGUUGUGUUGAGUUGCAAAUAUCUUCAGUUUGUAAGUAUCCUUUGAUAUUUUCUGUGGUAUAUUAUCAUGUUAUAUUAAUAUGGUCUGGCAGAUAUUUAAAAUUUUAAUGUUAUCAAUUUUAAUGUUUUAAUUUAUUGUUUUUAUUUAUUUAUUUAUUUUUGCCUGCGUUGGGUCUU